GCUUCAAGGCACCUGAAGACUUACCAGUGAAGUACAAGAAGCAGGAUGAUUGUACGGAUACCACCACACCGUCUUAUAGAUGUUGAUAUACUGAAUGAACAGAACAAUCAGCAGGUAGAUGAAGAAAAGAAAUUCAAAGAACAGGCUCCCAUCUACUGGCUCGGUCUUAGCACCAUCUUCCUUGAGACUCCUGCACCAUGAGAGCGAUGUAGUGGAAGAAGAGAAUGUGCAGGCUGAGGUGCAAGAGAAGAAAGAUGAGGCAGAGGUCCAGGUAAACCAGCCUGUGCACCCUCGAAGUCUGCAGGAGAAGUUAGGGAUGCUCAAGGCCGGGACACCAGAACAAGCUGUCGGACUAUAUGCUGCUGUUGGUAAUAAGUCUCAGGAGACCUGGAACGUCACCUCGCCAUGAUCACCUGGGAAAAUGACUGCCUUUCUUACGACCAAAACAGUCCUGCUGGACCUCUGCCCUGGACCUUUGGCACUCUGGACUAGUUCUGCUCUCUCUUGUGGCCAAGUGUAACUCGUGUACAAUAAAUCCUCUUGUUCUCAGCUAAAGAAUCAAACAAAAG
rnacentral:lncRNA from 1 species